UCUUAUGUACAUUCCUACAACAUAGCGUUAAUACAUCGAAUCCCAUUAGAACUCUGCAGUUAAGUGUGCUCGGGCUAGAGUAGUACUGGGAUGAGUGACUUCUUGGGAAGUUCUAGUGUUUAACAUGC
rfam:Picea glauca, whole genome shotgun sequence.